GGCAAGAGCUCAACUUUGGAAUCGCUCCGGCGAGUUGUAGUCUGGAGGUGGCCACCACGAGGUGUUCUAGCAGCAGGCAAGUCCUUUGGAACAAGGCGCCAGCGAGGGUGACAGCCCCGUACCUGCUUUUGCUAGUGCUUCCUGUGGCCCACCGACGAGUCGAGUUGUUUGGGAAUGCAGCUCUAAGUGGGUGGUAAAUUCCAUCUAAGGCUAAAUAUUGGCGAGAGACCGAUAGCGAACAAGUACAGUGAUGGAAAGAUGAAAAGCACUUUGAAAAGAGAGUGAAACAGUACGUGAAAUUGUUGAAAGGGAAGGGCUUGCACCCAGACACGGUUUCGGCCGGUCCAGCAUCAAGUAGAGCGGGGUUAAAAGACUUGGGGAAUGUAGCUACUUCGGAAGAGUUAUAGCCCUUGCUGAUGACCCCUGUUUUGCUUGAGGACAGCGUUCUCUAGGAUGCUGGCGCAAUGGUUGCAAGCCACCCGUCUUGAAACACGGACCAA
rnacentral:rRNA from 1 species